UACGGAGGGGGCGAGCGUUAUUCGGAAUUACUGGGCGUAAAGGGCUCGUAGGCGGCCAACUAAGUCAGACGUGAAAUCCCUCGGCUUAACCGGGGAACUGCGUCUGAUACUGGAUGGCUUGAGGUUGGGAGAGGGAUGCGGAAUUCCAGGUGUAGCGGUGAAAUGCGUAGAUAUCUGGAGGAACACCGGUGGCGAAGGCGGCAUCCUGGACCAAUUCUGACGCUGAGGAGCGAAAGCAUGGGGAGCGAACAGG
rnacentral:rRNA from 1 species